UGGAGGGAACGAGAGAUGCAGUAUAACUGAAGAGAGGACAAAUGAGAGGAAAGGAGAGAUUGAGUAUCUUUAGAGCAACUGUACUUUGGGGUGGAGCUUGUAGCGAAACUAAGCAGGAAUGAUCAACAGAAAACAUUGCAGAUGAAGUCAGGUUAUGUUGUGCUAUUAGUCAGUUUGACUUCCAACCCCAGCCAUGUUGUUCAUCUGGUCAAUUAUUAUGUUCUCAGUAAUAGGAGGCAGUUAUGAGCAAACUAUCGAGCCAAACCAACAAGAAGUGUAUGCAGAAGUGGGAAGUAAUGUUCUUCUUUCCUGCAACUACUCCUCAGCGUACAGUCUACUAUGGUAUAAACAGUCUCCAGGAUCAGCUCCCCAAUACCUUCUGCUCAUCCUACACUCCGCUGGGACUGGACAGAGAGCUGAUUCUCUUGACUCUCACUUCUCUGGUAAACUGAACAAAGAGAAGACCCGUGUGGAUCUGGAGAUUUCCUCUGCUGAAGUGACAGACUCUGCUCUGUACUACUGUGCUCUGACGCCCACAGUGACAGGAAACCCAGAGACACUGUACAAAAACCUAACAUCGCCUGAGAGAGUACUUCUACACUAUAGUUACAGGUUUCAUUUGACAAUAUUGCCAUCAAGUGGAGUCAACAUGCACCCAUUCUAUUGUGUCAAGAGGAGGAGCUUAGUUUCACAAAUAACAUGUCAUGAGAGGAACUGAGUGAAUGUUCCAAGAGAAGAUCAUUUAACAGAGAAGUCUCUGUCUAACACAAUGAACACAUUAUGAACACGCACAAAAUGCUAGCAAUGGCUUAGCUAGCUUAAUCGCUACUCCUGCCCAGUAACUAGAA